ACACUGACGUCGCGACGCAUAUCAAUAAGCGGAGGAAAAGAAACUAACAAGGAUUCCCCUAGUAACGGCGAGUGAAGCGGGAAGAGCUCAAAUUUGAAAUCUUAAAGGUUUUCCCUUGACGAAUUGUAGUUUAAAGAAGUGUUUUCUGUUGAGGUUUUGGUAAAAGUUCUUUGGAAUAGGACAUCAUAGAGGGUGAGAAUCCCGUAUUUGACCAUUAUUUUCAGCUUUGUGAUACACUUUCAAAGAGUCGGAUUGUUUGGGAGUGCAGUCCAAAAUGGGUGGUAAAUUUCAUCUAAAGCUAAAUAUUGGCGAGAGACCGAUAGCGAACAAGUACCGUGAGGGAAAGAUGAAAAGAACUUUGAAAAGAGAGUUAAACAGUACGUGAAAUUGUCAAAAGGGAAGCGUUUGACACCAGUGUUGUUUUCUCGAAAAUCAAUUAAAAAUGGCUCGAUUUUGUACUGUUGAGACCUUAAAAGCUCACUGUACAUUUUUCGUGUCUUUUUUAAUGCACUUUUCGUUUAACAAGUCACCAUCAGUUUCUUUUGUUGUAAAAGGGUCAUUGGAAGGUGGCUUUCUUUUCGGAGAAAGUGUUUAUAGCCUUUGGCCUCUGCAAUCGGAGAGACUGAGGUCUGCAGCGUAGACUCUUCGGGGUUAGAUAGCAUUUGUGCUAAGUUAUAGCUUUUUAUAGACAACUUGUUGACUAUAAUUAGUCUUGUAGCUUACUCGCUUAUGCUAUUUUACCUACGCUUAGGAUGUUGAGUAGCGACAUACGCAC
rnacentral:rRNA from 1 species